rnacentral:rRNA from 1 species
UACGUAGGUGGCAAGCGUUGUCCGGAUUUACUAGGCGUAAAGAGCGCGCAGGCGGUCGUUCAAGUCGCGUGUGAAAGCCCCCGGCUCAACUGGGGAGGGUCACGCGAUACUGAUCGACUCGAAGGCAGGAGAGGGUAGUGGAAUUCCCGGUGUAGUGGUGAAAUGCGUAGAUAUCGGGAGGAACACCAGUGGCGAAGGCGACUACCUGGCCUGUUCUUGACGCUGAGGCGCGAAAGCUAGGGGAGCAAACGGG